GUGCUGGCUUUGGCAGCACAUACAUUAAAAUUGGAACGAUACAGAGAAGAUUAGCCUGGUCCCUGCACGAGGAUGACAAAUUCAUGAAGCGUUCCAUAUUUUU